rnacentral:rRNA from 1 species
GAGUUUGAUCGUGGCUCAGAUUGAACGCUGGCGGCAUGCCUUACACAUGCAAGUCGAACGGCAGCACGGGAGCUUGCUCCUGGUGGCGAGUGGCGAACGGGUGAGUAAUGCAUCGGAACGUAUCCUGGAGUGGGGGAUAACGUAGCGAAAGUUACGCUAAUACCGCAUAUUCUGUGAGCAGGAAAGCGGGGGACCUUCGGGCCUCGCGCUCUUGGAGCGGCCGAUGUCGGAUUAGCUAGUUGGCGAGGUAAAGGCUCACCAAGGCGACGAUCCGUAGCAGGUCUGAGAGGAUGAUCUGCCACACUGGAACUGAGACACGGUCCAGACUCCUACGGGAGGCAGCAGUGGGGAAUUUUGGACAAUGGGGGCAACCCUGAUCCAGCCAUGCCGCGUGAGUGAAGAAGGCC